AAUUGGUGGGAUAUUUUGAAUCUUUUGUGGAACGCUUCUGGUUUGAUGUUGAAUGUGACUAAAAUCUUGCUUAUUGGUUUUAAUAUGAGUAAGGAGGGAGUUGAAGAAUGCAUAGAGGAGUUUCAAUGUAAAUUAUAAACAUUUCUAAUUAGUUACCUUGGUUUUUCUUUAGGCUGGCAUCACUAAAGAAAAGCUAAGUAGAUGGUUUUGAUAGAUAGACAUAAUGAUAGAUCGCAAAAAAGAGGUCUAUAGUUAUGAUUGUUGAGAUAAUGAUAGUGAAUUUUGGAAUGUAGGCCUUAGAUGGAGCUCUUUUUGACCGAGUUAAUUAGUUGGAUGGCUUUAGUAGAUAGAAACAAUACAGUGCAUAUGGGGGAAGGAGUGGAAAAAAAUUUAUGGUCAUUAGAGGGAUCUGGAAGUGUAGAGGCUAAUUUCUUUUUAACUUAGUCAUUUUUGUUGUUUGUUGAAUGUCCGUUGUUCUUUUAGUGGUUAUGUUAAGAAGUUUCCACGUCUGGUCGUACUUAUAUUUUGAAAAUUGAUAAUUAGUGAGACUUUGUAUCUUCUCCUACAUAUUAGAUGGGAGGUAGUAAAGCAUUGUAAGGAGUUUUCACCGGCUCUUGUGAUGAGGCAACUUCUUGGGCUGGAUGUUGGUAGUGUUCUUGAAGUCACUAAUUGCUUUUCCUUCCCGACUCGGAGGAGGAUGAGGAGAUUGAAUUCGAUGGUGCUAAUUACCAGCUUGAAAUGAUGAGAUGCUUGAGAGAAGUCAAUGUUAACAACAACGCUAUUGGAUGGUACCAGUCAACCUUCUUAGAUUUAUAUUAGAUUGUAGAGCUGAUUGAGACACUUAUGAAUUAUCAGCCAUCUCGAAGACGAUGAGGACGACUUUUUUGGCUCUAAAAAGG